rnacentral:rRNA from 1 species
UACGUAGGGUGCGAGCGUUGUCCGGAAUACUGGGCGUAAAGCGUGCGCAGGCGGUUCGUUAAGUCAGAUGUGAAAGCCCCGGGCUCAACCUGGGAACUGCAUUUGAAACUGGCGGGCUUGAGUGCGGCAGAGGGGGUGGGAAUUCCGCGUGUAGCAGUGAAAUGCGUAGAGAUGCGGAGGAACACCGAUGGCGAAGGCAGCCCCCUGGGCCGACACUGACGCUCAGGCACGAAAGCGUGGGGAGCAAACAGG